GAUGAACGCUGGCGGCGUGCCUAAUACAUGCAAGUCGAGCGAACAGACGAGGAGCUUGCUCCUCUGACGUUAGCGGCGGACGGGUGAGUAACACGUGGAUAACCUACCUAUAAGACUGGGAUAACUUCGGGAAACCGGAGCUAAUACCGGAUAAUAUAUUGAACCGCAUGGUUCAAUAGUGAAAGACGGUUUUGCUGUCACUUAUAGAUGGAUCCGCGCCGCAUUAGCUAGUUGGUAAGGUAACGGCUUACCAAGGCAACGAUGCGUAGCCGACCUGAGAGGGUGGUCGGCCACACUGGAACUGAGACACGGUCCAGACUCCUACGGGAGGCAGCGGUAGGGAAUCUUCCGCAAUGGGCGAAAGCCUGACGGAGCAACGCCGCGUGAGUGAUGAAGGUCUUCGGAUCGUAAAACUCUGUUAUUAGGGAAGAACAAAUGUGUAAGUAACUAUGCACGUCUUGACGGUACCUAAUCAGAAAGCCACGGCUAACUACGUG
rnacentral:rRNA from 1 species